UGAGUGUGGCACGAUGCAUGUG
rnacentral:misc_RNA from 1 species